UAAUUCUGCAUAAAGAAAGUUUUACGUUAUUAAUAUAAAUAGCAGGCAGUAGUCUCAGUACCAAAGAUCUAUUCCUUCUGCCUUGUUCUUUUAAGCCAUUUUGUAGCUGUACAUUAGUUGUUAUAAAAUCCAAGGGUUUUUAAAGAAAAAAAACACUUCUAUACAAUGCCAUAUUUAUAUCACAUAUUUUUAUACGCAAUUCCUCCGCCACUUGAAUCAGCAGUAAUUCUGCACAUUUCUGAGAAGAGUGACAGUUGUGGAAUUAAGUUGAUAAACGGGGGGAAAAAAAGACGACACACCAAAGUUUGUUUAAAAAAAAUAAAUAAUAAUCAGCCUGUCCAUAAAGAAGCAUGCCCUAUUGUUCUGGGAGAAUAUCGAAUGGCCGUGCUGGAUAGGAACAUUUCAGGAUUCCAACAGCAUCUGAAAUUUAAGGAGGCCAAAAGAGAGCUUCUGCUAUUCACCUGAGCUCUUCCCCCACUCGCCCGUUUUCCUGGGCAUCACUGUCAUUGUGUCUGUUGUUCAAGCCCAUAAUCUUGACUUUUGACUCCAUUCUUCUUUGUCCACAUCUGCUAACCUUGCUUAUGGGCAUAUUUACAUGGAUUUUGCUGGGAGAGUUAUGUCGUCUAACCCUCCUAGCAGAAACAAAGUAUAUACAUAGCUAAGCUGGUUAAAGGAUGCGAUUUUUUUGCACGCUCUUAGCUGACGUGGCCAUGUGGCAAAACUUUAGUGUUAACCAAGCGUAAACCUCAUAGCUUUGUUAUACAUAUUCCCAUGUGGUCAGCUUUCCACCUACACUACUAAACUUUUGUGCGACCUCAGUUAUUGCCUGCCUGGCCUAUAUGCCUUAUCACCCUAAAACCCCAUCCACUCUUGGUGGGGUCCAACCCUGUUUCGUGACCUCUGAGAAACCUUCCGUCACAGCACCCAGAGGCAAUUCAUUUUUGAAUGGAUAACACACAAAAUGCAAGUGUCUGACAUACUCCUAUGAAAAGAUGGAUUUGAUUUAUUUGGUUUGGGUGGGAUGUGUUCACUUCCUGUUUUAUUUUUUGCUUUCAUUUCAGAUAAACUUAUGAGACAGGACUCUUACAUAUGAGAUAAAGUGAGGAGUAAGAAGGCACCCUCUCAGCCUGUUACCAGGCUUGCCAAAAGACAACUAAGAAUAUGGACUAGUUGGUUUGAACAGCUAGAUCUUGCAGCCCCAUCUGCGACAGAGGAAGUUGAGUCAUUGCCUGACUGUGCCUGGAAAACAGCCUGACUACUGGAGACAGCUGUAAUGUAAGUUGUAUGUUGGCGCCCAUUCCCUACGCAGCCCAACAGGACCACUGCAGGACACUGCUGGAAAGCGAACGCAGACAGCGCGACGGACAAAAAUCACAAGUCAAGUCCGAAAACUAAAAUUUUUGCCAUUUUAAUAACUUCUGGUUUCAUGUGAACUGGUAGCACAUGACUGUUUUCUCUUUUGAUGGGGGCAAGACUGGAUUCAGAGUUAAGAAAAAAAAUAAUUACAGAUUUUAAAAUAUUAAUAUAUUCUCACCAAGAUAGUACGCAGUGAAGACUGCUACUCAGAGGCAUCUGGAAAGCUUAAUAGAUAUCAAAUGAGGCAACUAACUGGAUAAUUCUUAUAAACUGCUUUGUGUAUUAAAGAACUGGCAUGUACAAGGCUCUUUAAAUACACCUUGUUAUUUUUAAAGGAAA